rnacentral:rRNA from 1 species
UCUACUGCGGAGGACAUUAAGAUCUUGAAGGGGCUGUAGCUGGCCGGAAGGCAUGUGCACGCCUCGAUCAUUAUCCAUCUCACACCUGUGCACACACUGUAGGUCGGUUUGUUGGGCGAGGUCUUCAUUGACUUUGCUUCGCGGGCCUUCCUAUGUUUUAUCACAAACUACUAGUUUAAAGAAUGUUUACUGCGUGUAACGCAUUUAUAUACAACUUUCAGCAACGGAUCUCUUGGCUCUCGCAUCGAUGAAGAACGCAGCGAAAUGCGAUAAGUAAUGUGAAUUGCAGAAUUCAGUGAAUCAUCGAAUCUUUGAACGCACCUUGCGCUCCUUGGUAUUCCGAGGAGCAUGCCUGUUUGAGUGUCAUGGAAUUCUCAACUUCAUUUGCUUUUGUGAGUGAAGCUUGGACUUGGAGGUAUUGCUGGCCGUAUGGUCGGCUCCUCUUGAAUUUAUUAGCUCGAACCUUUGUGGAUCAGCUUCGGUGUGAUAAUUGUCUACGCCGUUCUGUGAAAGCAUAACUAUGGGUUUCGGCUUCCAACAGUCCUUCACUGGACAACAUCUUUGACCUUUGACCUCAAAUCAGGUAGGAUUACCCGCUGAACUUAAGCAUAUCAAAAGCCCGGAGGAAA